CGGACCGGCGCACGGGUGAGUAACGCGUAUCCAACCUGCCUUACACUCUUGGACAGCCUUCUGAAAGGGAGAUUAAUACAAGAUGUCAUCAUGAGUAAGCAUUUUCACAUGAUUAAAGGUUUACCGGUGUAAGAUGGGGAUGCGUUCCAUUAGAUAGUAGGCGGGGUAACGGCCCACCUAGUCUUCGAUGGAUAGGGGUUCUGAGAGGAAGGUCCCCCACAUUGGAACUGAGACACGGUCCAA
rnacentral:rRNA from 1 species